rnacentral:rRNA from 1 species
AGUGAACGCUGGCGGUAGGCCUAACACAUGCAAGUCGAACGGCAGCACAGUAAGAGCUUGCUCUUACGGGUGGCGAGUGGCGGACGGGUGAGGAAUACAUCGGAAUCUACUUUUUCGUGGGGGAUAACGUAGGGAAACUUACGCUAAUACCGCAUACGACCUACGGGUGAAAGCAGGGGAUCUUCGGACCUUGCGCGAUUGAAUGAGCCGAUGUCGGAUUAGCUAGUUGGCGGGGUAAAGGCCCACCAAGGCGACGAUCCGUAGCUGGUCUGAGAGGAUGAUCAGCCACACUGGAACUGAGACACGGUCCAGACUCCUACGGGAGGCAGCAGUGGGGAAUAUUGGACAAUGGGCGCAAGCCUGAUCCAGCCCUACCGCGUGGGUGAAGAAGGCCUUCGGGUUGGAAAGCCCUUUUGUUGGGAAAGAAAAGCAGCAGGUUAAUACCCCGCUGUUCUGACGGUACCCAAAGAAUAAGCACCGGCUAACUUCGUG